rnacentral:rRNA from 1 species
UACAGAGGGUGCAAACGUUGCUCGGAAUCAUUGGGCGUAAAGCGUACGUAGGCGGCUUGAUAAGUCGGUAGUGAAAGCCCUCGGCUUAACCGAGGAAGUGCUAUCGAAACUGCCAAGCUUGAAUACCGGAGAGGAUCGCGGAAUUCCCGGUGUAGAGGUGAAAUUCGUAGAUAUCGGGAGGAACACCAGUGGCGAAGGCGGCGAUCUGGACGGAUAUUGACGCUGAUGUACGAAAGCGUGGGGAGCAAACAGGAUUAAGAAACCCUGAGU